CUUCUCCUCUGCUUCCUUCUUUUGUACGUUCAUUAUCCUUCUAUAUAUUUAAUUUUGUAGCUAAAAUGUCCAUACUCACAUUCUUUUCUGCUAUAGAAAUGGAUUGGAUUGGAUUGGUUUGUUUUGCUUGUUUGGGAAUUGGAGAAUUGAGCUAAAUCUUUAAUGUAAAAAGUUUUCUGGCAUUCGUUUAAUUUUUGAACUUUGAAUGUAUAUCGUCGUAAGCACUGUGGAUCUAGCUUGGAUCUAAGUUAGGAUGGGGGCUUGGGCAGAGAAGAUUGUAAUUUCAUUAUGAUAGGUUUGAAUAAUUGACGUUUUGCUUUUGUGUAGAAAAUUAGAGUUGAAAAAAGCCUCAAUUUUGAUCCUGGAAAAUUAGGGAUGCAGGAUUCUUGGCUCUGGUUGAAGUCAAAUGGUAUUUCAAUCACCAUUGAGUUUGCAAGCUACUAAUGCAAAAGCUUUAAAUGGUGGAACAAAUUAAUAAUUCUGCUAAAAAUUUUAUAUUUUUAUGAUUUUUUAUGCAAUUUAAAAUCACCUUAUUAGCCAGUAGCCACUAUCAAAGCUACUGAAUUGCAAGGUGCCCGCAGCAUUUUGAGCUUGAAUUUCAAUUAUGACCUCUCUUAAUUUAAGGACUGUCUAUUUUUAUGCAAAUCUGUCUGACCAGCUCGCUGGAAAUCCUAAACAAUCCACUUUCCGAUUAAUUUUAAUAGAAAAUUUGCAGCCAUGUUGUUCCUCUGGUUAAUGUUGACAGUUGACUAGCUGGCAUAGGAGGAUACUUUAUUCAACAUUGUAUUGCAGUAACUUUUCGUAUUUAUUGAGUUUAUAUACAAGAAUGUAGAGAAAGCAAUUAUUUCUUUGCCAGAGUCUUAUUGAAAAUUUGCAACUUUUGACAAGCUGGAUUGAUGAAUGUACUUACUGAACUAUUUUCGUGGGAACUUUUCAUAUUUGUUGAGAUUUUAGAAAAUUGUUACUAAAUCAUGUAUUUAUGACGUCUUGUUGGAAGUAUGCAAAUUUUGAUUUUAAAGCUUCAGUUCAUUUUCAGAGAAGAUGCAAUUUGGAUUCUCAGAGAUCAUCUAUAGGGAAAGUUGAAGAAGACAUAAAUGAUGAGGCAUGUGAGUUAGUCAAUGGAGUGGAAUUGUCAAUAGGCAAGGGUGCUGAUACCAUCAGUGCUUAUCUCUUCAAGGCAGUGAAAAAUAACAAUGGAACUGGCAUACUGCUCUUGUCUGAUGUUUUUGGGUUUGAAGAUUCAUCUACAAGAGACUUUGCAUAUCGUGUUGCCUGUAAUGGCUACAAUGUUCUUGUUCCUGACUUAUUUCGUGGAGACCCGUGGGCAAAAGACCUGCCAAAGACUAAGUUUGAACAGUGGAUAGCAAAACAAGAGCCGCAGAGGGUUGCAAAGGACAUCACCACAGCAACAAAAUGGAUGGCUGAUGAAAUUUUUAGCUGCCGGAAUUUCAAAGAAGCUGGGCAUAAUUGGGUUUUGCUUUCGAGGAGGCCAAGUGAUAGAGGCGCUAUCGAGAGACCAAGGAGCUUGUUUUGGCAUAGCGGUCUCCUUUUAUGGUACAAGGAUGCUUCCAUCAGUAGCUUCCAAUGUAAAAGUUCCCGUAUUUUUUAUUUCAGGGGACAACGAUCCGCUAUGCUCAGUCAAUGUCUUGAAAGAUAUCGAGAAGAGCAUGUGUCAGGGGUCAAGGGUAGUCGUCUUCCAGGGAAGAGGUCAUGGCUUUGCCCAUCGUCCUAACUCCCCUGAAGAAGAUAGAGAUGCAGAGCAGGCUUUUGUUCUCAUGAGAAAUUGGCUAUAUGAUGGUUUGGUCUUACAAUGAGUGCAGGCUGUAUGAAGUUUUUGUAUAUUAAUUGUGCCUGUAAAGUUUGUUGCCUCUGUUGUUUAUGAAUAGGGUGAAAUUUUUAAGGAGACUGAUGUUCCAUCAUUGGAUUUCAGUGCUGCAGAUAAUUUCUUUGCAUCAAGAGUUUUGUAGGAUGUUGCUUAAAUGGGAAAACUUACUAGAGAAAGUCAUAUACUUCGUUCAAAUUCUAAUCUUCCAUUCUGGGCAAUAUAGGUCCUGGUUAUUCU
rnacentral:misc_RNA from 1 species